rnacentral:rRNA from 1 species
CAAGUCAGAUGUGAAAGCCUUCUGUUCAACGGGAGAAUUGCAUCUGAAACUGCUAAUCUUGAGUAUAGGAUGGGAGAAUGGAACUUCUGGUGGAGCGGUGAAAUGCGUAGAUAUCAGAAGGAACGCCGGCGGCGAAAGCGAUUCUCUGGCCUAUUACUGACACUCAGUGUGCGAAAGCUAGGGGAGCAAACGGGAUUAGAUACCCCGGUAGUCCUAGCCGUAAACGAUGGGCACUAAGUAGAGGGGAUUACCUAUGUUCUCUCUGCCGUAGCUAACGCAUUAAGUGCCCCGCCUGGGGAGUACGGCCGCAAGGCUAAAACUCAAAAGAAUUGACGGGGGCUCGCACAAGCGGUGGAGCAUGUGGCUUAAUUCGAUGCAACGCGAAAAACCUUACCGGGGCUUGACAUGAUAGAAGUAGGAACCUGAAAGGGGGACGAACGGUAUCCAGUCCGUAGCUAUUACAGGUGUUGCAUGGCUGUCGUCAGCUCGUGUCGUGAGACGUUGGGUUAAGUCCCCUAACGAGCGAAACCCUUGUUUUUAGUUACCAGCGGGUUAUGCCGGGUACUCUAGAAAGACUGCCGUCGUCAAGACGGAGGAAGGUGGGGAUGACGUCAAGUCAUCAUGGCCCUUAUGCCCCGGGCUGCACACGUGCUACAAUGGUCGGUACAGACGGAAGCGAA